rnacentral:rRNA from 1 species
UACGUAGGGUCCGAGCGUUUGUCCGGAAUUACUGGGCGUAAAGAGCUCGUAGGUGGUUUGUCGCGUUGUUCGUGAAAACUCACAGCUCAACUGUGGGCGUGCGGGCGAUACGGGCAGACUUGGAGUACUGCAGGGGAGACUGGAAUUCCUGGUGUAGCGGUGGAAUGCGCAGAUAUCAGGAGGAACACCCGAUUGCGAAGGCAGCUCGCUGGGGACGU